CCUACGGGGGGCAGCAGUGGGGAAUAUUGGACAAUGGGCGAAAGCCUGAUCCAGCAAUGCCGCGUGAGUGAUGAAGGCCUUAGGGUUGUAAAGCUCUUUUACCAGGGAUGAUAAUGACAGUACCUGGAGAAUAAGCUCCGGCUAACUCCGUGCCAGCAGCCGCGGUAAUACGGAGGGAGCUAGCGUUGUUCGGAAUUACUGGGCGUAAAGCGUGCGUAGGCGGUGAUUCAAGUCAGAGGUGAAAGCCUGGAGCUCAACUCCAGAACGGCCUUUGAAACUAGAUCGCUAGAAUUAUGGAGAGGUAAGUGGAAUUCCGAGUGUAGAGGUGAAAUUCGUAGAUAUUCGGAAGAACACCAGUGGCGAAGGCGACUUACUGGACAUAUAUUGACGCUGAGGUACGAAAGCGUGGGGAGCAAACAGGAUUAGAUACCCCAGUAGUC
rnacentral:rRNA from 1 species